CCUCCUGCAUGGGCCUCCUCAUCCUCUGUGCAUCAUCAUUGCCACAAUAGCUAGCACUGAUUGAACAGCUGGCAUAUGCCAGGAACUAAACGCAGUGAUGGAGAUAACAGCAACUAUCAGGUAUUGAAUGCUGACAUCCACCAGCUGUGGCCAGUCUACUGAUUAUCUCAUUUAAUCCCCACAGCAACCUGACCAUCCCCACCAAAAGGAUGAGCAAGUAGGUUCCAUGCAGUAAGAUGGCCUCAUUCACCUGGGAUCUGAAUCCAAGAGCCAGGCUCCUGAUCAGUCGGUCAUGUCCAAGUCCCUACAGACCUAAGAGGUGAGAAUUAUUAUCUGUCUCACUGAUUUAAGAAAACCAAAAACCUGUGGCCCAGAAGGGAAGUGAGUCAGCCCACGUCAUACUGUGUGAAAUGAUGGCCUCUGAGGAUAUCCUGCUUCUAUCUUCUUUUACUCUGAUCGACUCAGCUGAGGCUUUAAAGAAACACGCUUGGACUUUGUGACUCUCACUCCCGACUCAGAAUUCCUGUCCUGUUACUCUGGGCCUGUAGCUGAGCUUCAGAUAACCAAGGGCUCAGCCUCAGGCAGAAGGUCUGACCUCCAGAUAAGCGGAGCCCUAGGGUGGAACAAAGACAGGAGUCACAGGAGAAGCUCACAUCACACCCACUUCCUGGUUCCUCAUUGAAACUGGGGAGGGGGGGAAGGGGGGCAUUUAUUCUACCAGGGCACACGCACCAUGUUUCACGCUCAUCAUCUUCUUUUCGGUCCAUGACAACUUUGUCAGCUCCAUGUGGCAAUCCUCAUUUUGUGGGAAAUGGAGCUCAUGUGAUUUACCGAAGCAGGGACCCAGUGACCAGUGUCCUCGGCAAACUAUCAUCUAGGAUACUUGGAAAUUCCAGCAGGUCGUAGCGGGCGGGUUGUUUUUCACUUUGAGGGAGAGAGUCUGGAGGUGGAGGCUGCAGGCCCUGCCUCCAGCCAGGCAGGAACGAGGUUGUGAGACACAGCAAGGCUGCACCUACAAGCUCCUUCCCGAGAUGUGAUCCCUUUCGGGGGCUGCCCUGGAACCAAUGGCAGCUUAGUUCCUCUUGUCAGUCCUCCCUCUUUAUACUCCUCUUAUCCCCUCCAAAAGUCAAGAAAAGAGGAAUUGGCUGUUUGAUUUCUGAAGGCCCAGGCUAAGUGAAAAUAGCAGCAGUCCUGAGGGGUGUGUGUGUGACUCACCCCUCGACCAAAGGACCAGGCUGACCAGAGCAGAGGGGCCCUUGUUGGGACCUGGGCUUUUGUUCCCUGUGGGCCCGAAUGAAUCACAGCUCCCAACAAGCCACACUGGCCAGUCCCAAACUUUCCCACACAGAAUCGCAAAUGAGUCCCAAGCAUCACAAAUGAGUCAGGGGGGCCCCAUCAAGCGCAAAAAGGCUAUGCUCUUCCUUACUCUUCACCUUCAACUUGGCCCCUGAAAGAAGCCAGACUGGACUUGGCGCUCUUUGGGGGCAAAGUGGAAACUGCAACCAGAAAAAGGUCGGCCACAAGGCCACUAUGGAGACCAGCCACAAGGUGG
ensembl:lncRNA